rnacentral:rRNA from 1 species
UAGCGUAUUCGUUUGACGUUAGCGACAGAAGAAAGCACCGGCUAACUCCGUGCCAGCAGCCGCGGUAAUACGGAGGGUGCGAGCGUUAAUCGGAAUUACUGGGCGUAAAGCGCAUGCAGGUGGUUUGUUAAGUCAGAUGUGAAAGACCCGGGGCGUCAACCUCGGAAUAGCAUUUGUAAACUAGGCAGACUAGAGUACUGUAGAGGGGGGUAGGAAUUUCUAGGUGUAGCGGUGAAAUGCGUAGAGAUCUGAAGGAAUACCGGUGGCGAAGGCGGCCCCCUCGGACAGAUACUGACACUCAGAUGCGAAAGCGUGGGGAGCAAACAGGAUUAGAUACCCUGGUAG